rnacentral:rRNA from 1 species
UGGGGAAUUUUGGACAAUGGGCGAAAGCCUGAUCCAGCAAUGCCGCGUGUGUGAAGAAGGCCUUCGGGUUGUAAAGCACUUUUGUCCGGAAAGAAAUCCUUGGCUCUAAUACAGUCGGGGGAUGACGGUACCGGAAGAAUAAGCACCGGCUAACUACGUGCCAGCAGCCGCGGUAAUACGUAGGGUGCAAGCGUUAAUCGGAAUUACUGGGCGUAAAGCGUGCGCAGGCGGUUUGCUAAGACCGAUGUGAAAUCCCCGGGCUCAACCUGGGAACUGCAUUGGUGACUGGCAGGCUAGAGUAUGGCAGAGGGGGGUAGAAUUCCACGUGUAGCAGUGAAAUGCGUAGAGAUGUGGAGGAAUACCGAUGGCGAAGGCAGCCCCCUGGGCCAAUACUGACGCUCAUGCACGAAAGCGUGGGGAGCAAACAGGAUUAGAUACCCUGGUAGUCCACGCCCUAAACGAUGUCAACUAGUUGUUGGGGAUUCAUUUCCUUAGUAACGUAGCUAACGCGUAAAGUUGACCGCCUGGGGAGUACGGUCGCAAGAUUAAAACUCAAAUGAAUUGACGGGGUCAUAGCUGUUUCCU